rnacentral:rRNA from 1 species
UACGUAGGGUGCGAGCGUUAAUCGGAAUUACUGGGCGUAAAGCGUGCGUAGGCGGUUCGUUAAGUUCGUUGUGAAAGCCCCGGGCUCAACCUUGGAAUGGCAAUGGAAACUGGCGGGCUGGAGUAUGGCAGAGGGGGGUGGAAUUCCGCGUGUAGCAGUGAAAUGCGUAGAGAUGCGGAGGAACACCGAUGGCGAAGGCAGCCCCCUGGGCCAAUACUGACGCUCAGGCACGAAAGCGUGGGGAGCAAACAGG